rnacentral:ncRNA from 1 species
CUAUGAGUCAAAUAAAACUCAUGGCGGAAGGAG